rnacentral:rRNA from 1 species
UACGUAGGGAGCGAGCGUUUGUCCGGAAUCAUUGGGCGUAAAGAGCAUGUAGGUGGAUCAAUUAGUCUGCUGUGAAAGUCAAAGGCUCAACCUUUGAAAGCCGGUGGAUACUGUUGAUCUAGAGUACGGAAGAGGCGAGUGGAAUUCCUGGUGUAGCGGUGGAAUGCGCAGAUAUCAGGAGGAACACCAAUAGGCGAAGGCAGCUCGCUGGGACGUUACUGACACUGAGGACGACGAAGCGUGGGGAGCAAACAGG